rnacentral:misc_RNA from 1 species
GAUGAAGAAGCAGCGAAAUGCGAUAAGUAAUGUGAAUUGCAGAAUUCAGUGAAUCAUCGAAUCUUUGAACGCAUCUUGCGCUCCUUGGUAUUCUGAGGAGCAUGCCUGUUUGAGUGUCAUUAAAUUCUCAACUACACUGACUUUGAAUUGGUGUGGCUUGGAUUUGGGGGGAAAAUUGUUGUGGGCUUUUUGUAUAGUCUGCUCCCCUGAAAUUGAUUAGCGGUACCUUUGUGGAACUGUCUACAGGUGUGAUAAUUAUCUACAUCUUAGACAUCUGCUGGAAUGCUGCUUUCUAAACCUUACUUGUAUUGACAAUCUUGACCUCAAAUCAGGUAGGACUACCCGCUGAACUUAAGCAUAUCAAUAAGCGGAGGA